rnacentral:lncRNA from 12 species
CUCCUUGACCUUGCUUUGUCCCCAUGCAAGAGGCAAGUCGCAGCUGACGCAGCUGGCACCUUCGCCUGCCAUGUAAAUGCCCCAAUUGCCCUGCAUUCUAUUCUGGAAGCUUUCAGAAGGGUUCAGGGGCGCCCGAGGAAUGUGGAAGGAAUGCCAAGGCUUGCUUCAGACUCCUCUGGAAGAAAGUGGAGGAGAAGAGCCAAGGAAGAGGUGUCAUUAGAAGAAGGGAAUUGGAGAUCAUUUUCAGAGGACUAAAUUAUUUUGGUUUAAUUUUGGCAUGAGAGCUGAGUUCUAGGGAGGGUUUUGUUUUCUUCCUUGUUAUUGUGGUUAGUUUUGUUUUGUCUUAAUUGCUAAUUAUUUCCAAAUCUCCAAAAGGAAGUUGAAAAGACUCAUUUAAUUAUUUAUUUAUUGCUCUGAUC